rnacentral:rRNA from 1 species
UUAAAUUGAAGAGUUUGAUCAUGGCUCAGAUUGAACGCUGGCGGCAGGCCUAACACAUGCAAGUCGAACGGUAACAGGAAGCAGCUUGCUGCUUCGCUGACGAGUGGCGGACGGGUGAGUAAUGUCUGGGAAACUGCCUGAUGGAGGGGGAUAACUACUGGAAACGGUGGCUAAUACCGCAUAACGUCGCAAGACCAAAGAGGGGGACCUUUGGGCCUCUUGCCAUCAGAUGUGCCCAGAUGGGAUUAGCUUGUUGGUGAGGUAACGGCUCACCAAGGCGACGAUCCCUAGCUGGUCUGAGAGGAUGACCAGCCACACUGGAACUGAGACACGGUCCAGACUCCUACGGGAGGCAGCAGUGGGGAAUAUUGCACAAUGGGCGCAAGCCUGAUGCAGCCAUGCCGCGUGUAUGAAGAAGGC